CCUACGGGGGGCAGCAGUCGAGAAUCAUUCACAAUGGGGGAAACCCUGAUGGUGCGACGCCGCGUGGGGGAAUGAAGGUCUUCGGAUUGUAAACCCCUGUCAUGUGGGAGCAAAUUAAAAAGAUAGUACCACACGAGGAAGAGACGGCUAACUCGGUGCCAGCAGCCGCGGUAAUACAGAGGUCUCAAGCGUUGUUCGGAAUCACUGGGCGUAAAGCGUGCGUAGGCUGUUUCGUAAGUCGUGUGUGAAAGGCGCGGGCUCAACCCGCGGACGGCCCAUGAUACUGCGAGACUAGAGUAAUGGAGGGGGAACCGGAAUUCUCGGUGUAGCAGUGAAAUGCGUAGAUAUCGAGAGGAACACUCGUGGCGAAGGCGGGUUCCUGGACAUUAACUGACGCUGAGGCACGAAGGCCAGGGGAGCGAAAGGGAUUAGAUACCCGAGUAGUC
rnacentral:rRNA from 1 species